CUGCUUAUAUAGCUACCCUUGAUCCAAACAGACCUAAAAAUAAAAGAAAGAAGCAAUCGAUUGCUUCACAAAGUACUUACAUGAUAACAUUUUGUAAUUUUUCUUUUUGUGAUACUACUAUCUGGGUAUUGGAUACCGAAAGUCUUAUUAAUAUAUGCAAUUCAUUACAGAGACUACAGAUAAGUAAAAAAUUUUGAGAGGACGAGCGGUUCUUUAACAUUGGAGA
rnacentral:lncRNA from 1 species